rnacentral:rRNA from 1 species
AGAUUGAAAGGUAGUGUGAAGGAGUUGAAAAUAAUAUAUUAUGUAGAAGUAAUUGGUGUGAAUAGAAAUUUGUGAAUUAAUGUGAAUUAGAAUCAAGAAAAUAGGAAAUAUAUGUUAGUGUUGUUUGCCUUUUGCAUAAUGAUUUAAUGAGGGGUCAAUUCGAAGAAUGUUCUCGAAAUAAUUCGAUAAAAAAAUUAGUAAGAACUUUUUUGUUGCAAUAAAAAUUAAAAUAAUUUUUAGGAAUGAAAAGUUAACCAAGAAUUAUGAUAGCUAGUUUAUGCUGAAUGUAUGUGAUGGCUAAUUGAAGUUAGUUAUUUGUAUUGGGGACAGCUCAAUACAAAAUUAAGAAAGUUACAAGACAAUAAUGAAAAUAUUUUUUAAUUAUAUUAGUUGGCAUGGUAAAAAGAUAAGCAUAAGAUUGAAAAUAAUAUUAAAAUUAGUAUAUUUAAAAUUAAAAUAAUAUUAUUAGCUAAAUAGUUAGAAUUUUUAAUUUUUAGUUUUUUGGAGGAAUUCGACAAAAUUUAGUUUGUUUGUUUAAUAAAAACUUUGUUUAUUGCUUCUUAUAAUAAAUCUAGUCUGCCCUAUGUGAUAAUAAAUGGCGGUUUUUUCUUUAAAGUAGCGUAAUAAUUUGUCUAUUAAUUGUAGUCUAGUGAAAGAUAAUACAAAUUAAGAUUUUCUUUUUUAAAAAUUAGAACUUUUUUUAUGGUGCAAAUGCCAUAGUGAGAAAAAAAGAAAAAAAGACCCUAGGUGGUUAAGUUAACAUCAUAAGUAAUUUGGUAGAUACUUAAACUGGGGCAGUUAUUGAAGAUUGUAAUUUUAAUGUUUAUAUUCUUAAUAAAGAAAAUUAAUAAUAAUAAAAACCAACCCUAGGGAUAACAGCGCAAUUAGUUAUAUAAGAGCAUAUUUACUAACUAGUUUACGACCUCGAUGUCGACUUACAUUGUCUUUCAGUUGCAGAAGAUUGGAGGGUUUGUUUGUUCACCAAUUAAAAAUGUACGUGAGUUGGGUUUAGAACGGGGUAACCUAGUUUAGAUUUUUUCUUUUAAUAAUUAAUAAAAUAGUACGAAAGGAAUUUUUCUUAAUGAGGACAAUUU